UAAGGAAUAAUUGGCAAUGGACGCAAGUCUGACCCAGCCAUGCCGCGUGGAGGAUGAAGGUCCUCUGGAUUGUAAACUUCUUUUAUCUGGGACGAAAAAAGGGAAUUCUUUCUCGUCUGACGGUACCAGAUGAAUAAGCACCGGCUAACUCCGUGCCAGCAGCCGCGGUAAUACGGAGGGUGCAAGCGUUAUCCGGAUUCACUGGGUUUAAAGGGUGCGUAGGCGGGUGUGUAAGUGCCGUGGUGAAAUCUCCGAGCUUAACUCGGAAACUGCCAUGGGUACUGCAUGUCUUGAAUGUUGUGGAGGUGAGCGGAAUAUGUCAUGUAGCGGUGAAAUGCUUAGAUAUGACAUAGAACACCAAUUGGGAAGGCAGCUCACUACACAAAUAUUGACGCUGAGGCACGAAACGCGUGGGGAUCAAACAGGAUUAGAUACCCUGGUAGUCCACGCCCUAAACGAUGAUUACUCGACGUGCGCGAUACACAGUCAGCGUCUGAGCUAACGCAUUAAGC
rnacentral:rRNA from 1 species